CCUACGGGGGGCAGCAGUGGGGAAUAUUGCACAAUGGGCGGAAGCCUGAUGCAGCGACGCCGCGUGCGGGAUGAAGGCCUUCGGGUUGUAAACCGCUUUCAGCAGGGGCACGGUACCUGCAGAAGAAGCGCCGGCUAACUACGUGCCAGCAGCCGCGGUAAUACGUAGGGCGCGAGCGUUGUCCGGAAUUAUUGGGCGUAAAGAGCUCGUAGGCGGCCUGUUGCGUCCGCUGUGAAAUCCCAGGGCUCAACCCUGGGCGUGCAGUGGAUACGGGCAGGCUGGAGGCAGGCAGGGGAGAACGGAAUUCCCGGUGUAGCGGUGAAAUGCGCAGAUAUCGGGAGGAACACCGGUGGCGAAGGCGGUUCUCUGGGCCUGUCUGACGCUGAGGAGCGAAAGCGUGGGGAGCGAACAGGAUUAGAUACCCUUGUAGUC
rnacentral:rRNA from 1 species